rnacentral:rRNA from 1 species
CCUACGGGUGGCAGCAGUCGAGAAUCAUUCACAAUGGGGGAAACCCUGAUGGUGCGACGCCGCGUGGGGGAAUGAAGGUCUUCGGAUUGUAAACCCCUGUCAUGUGGGAGCAAAUUAAAAAGAUAGUACCACAAGAGGAAGAGACGGCUAACUCUGUGCCAGCAGCCGCGGUAAUACAGAGGUCUCAAGCGUUGUUCGGAAUCACUGGGCGUAAGGCGUGCGUAGGCUGUUUCGUAAGUCGUGUGUGAAAGGCGCGGGCUCAACCCGCGGACGGCACAUGAUACUGGGAGACUGGAGUAAUGGAGGGGGAACCGGAAUUCUCGGUGUAGCAGUGAAAUGCGUAGAUAUCGAGAGGAACACUCGUGGCGAAGGCGGGUUCCUGGACAUUAACUGACGCUGAGGCACGAAGGCCAGGGGAGCGAAAGGGAUUAGAUACCCCAGUAGUC